rnacentral:rRNA from 1 species
GAUGAACGCUGGCGGCGUGCCUAAUACAUGCAAGUCGAGCGAAUGGAUUAAGAGCUUGCUCUUAUGAAGUUAGCGGCGGACGGGUGAGUAACACGUGGGUAACCUGCCCAUAAGACUGGGAUAACUCCGGGAAACCGGGGCUAAUACCGGAUAACAUUUUGAACCGCAUGGUUCGAAAUUGAAAGGCGGCUUCGGCUGUCACUUAUGGAUGGACCCGCGUCGCAUUAGCUAGUUGGUGAGGUAACGGCUCACCAAGGCAACGAUGCGUAGCCGGCCCGGGAGGGUGAUCGGGCCAACUGGGACUGAGACACGGCCCAAACUCCUACGGGAGGCAGCAGUAGGGAAUCUUCCGCAAUGGACGAAAGUCUGACGGAGCAACGCCGCGUGAGUGAUGAAGGCUUUCGGGUCGUAAAACUCUGUUGUUAGGGAAGAACAAGUGCUAGUUGAAUAAGCUGGCACCUUGACGGUACCUAACCAGAAAGCCACGGCUAACUACGUGCCAGCCGCCGCCGUAA